UCGUGGAUCGCGGGGGAUACUGCUUGCUAGGGGACGAGAGAGGCAGACGGUAUUUUCGGGGUAGGGGUGAAAUCCUAUAUUCCCGGGAAGACCACCAGUGGCGAAGGCUGUCUGCUAGAACGCGCCCGACGGUGAGGGAUGAAAGCUGGGGGAGCGAACCGGAUUAGAUACCCGGGUAGUCCCAGCUGUAAACGAUGCAGACUAGGUGUUUGGACGGCCACGUGCCGUUCUAGUGCCGCAGGGAAGCUGUUAAGUCUGCCGCCUGGGGAGUACGAUCGCAAGAUUGAAACUUAAAGGAAUUGGCGGGGGAGCACCACAAGGGGUGAAGCUUGCGGUUUAAUUGGAGUCAACGCCGGG
rnacentral:rRNA from 1 species